rnacentral:misc_RNA from 1 species
AAAGAAGAAAAAUUUGAAGAAAAGAAGAAAGAAAAUUCUGCACUAAGGUUAGUGAUUCAAACUUGAAACUUUUAGUUUAAUCUUUGUGAUUUUAGCUUAAGGAACUUAGAAAUGAACAUAAAAUCAAACGAAAACAAGGGUUAGAGGACUAUAUGUAAAUUGUGGCUAGCUAGGGUUUGAGAUGGGAAUGCAUGAAUUUGAUUGAAUUAAAAGUGUAUGUAAACUUGAAUGAGUGAGAAAUGGUAUUGGUAUGCUUUGAAUUAAUUAAAUGUAACCAAUAUGUGAAUUAGGGUUUUGAACAUUAGGGUUUAAAGACAAAAAUGUUAGAAACUUGUAAAUGAUGUCCUGGACCUAAUUUGAAGUGAGAAAU